UUAGGUUAAGUGGUAAAUUGUCCAUAAGUGUAGAAAUGUGUGUGUUUGUGUGUGACCCUGCAUUAGGCUGGCAACCUCUUCAUCAAUAUUGGCUAGGGUUAGGGUUAGGGUUGUUACUUUUCAUGAAUCUAAUUUGAUGUUUUGAUUUCCUGGUGCUGAGGGGAGAACUGUGACUGCUGCUGGAACCAUCAAGGCAGGACUAAUACAAGAAUUUGUUGGGAGUGGAUAACUGAAUCCAAGUGCAGACACAAACUGGUAGAAGGGUGAACAAUAAUCUGGCGCUGGCUGGAGGUCCUCCUCAGGAAUAAAUAGAGUCUGUGAUGGCCAGCAAGUGUGGAGGUGCUGAUUGUGGAGAUGAGCAGCAGGUGUUGUGACCCAGGAGGAGGCAUGCUCAACAGAACCACAACAGAAUGCAUGCCAGUCAGCAGAGGCCUCAUACUCUGCAGGUGGCUAACUGGACUUUACCAUUGCCCGUCUGGUUGGAGAUUCCAGGUGAGUUCAGGAGGGGAGUGAGGACAGGGAGUGGGAGCCGAGCAGGUGAUGGAGACAGACGCCCCCUCCUUCAGACCAUCUGGGAUUUCAAUGCUGGGACUCUGAGGAGAAUCUGUGCUUCCACAUCAGACAAGAAGGGUAUAAAGAAAUAAAAUCAUUGAUGACCUCCAGAUGGGUAAAAAGCUAAAAAGUGAAUUUAAUAAAAGCUGUUGAACUUUCUUAAAACUAUGCUCUAAGAGACAUUUUCAAGUUUCAGACUGACAACCAGGAAACGUUUGCAGCAACUUUACAGUUUGUAUCAGAAGAAAGUGAAGCCAUAAAUCUCCAACAUUGAACUUUUAGACAAAUAUUUCAGACUUUGAAACACUGAAGUUUGACUUUUCACUAAGCUGUAAACUGCAAUUAUUACAAUUAAGAUAAUAGUUUUCCUAAACCUUUCAGUCAAUAAAUAAGUGAGGAGUUCUGCAAAGUUUCCCACUUUUGUUCUAAAUUACUGAAAUAAAUUACUAAUUUGAUGAUAUUCUGAUGUACAGAGGCACAGUUGUGGAUCUAUUUAAUAAAAAAAUUGUCUUACCAUU